GCAUUGGUGGUUCAGUGGUAGAAUUGUCGCUUCCCAAGGCGGGAGACCCGGGUUCGAUUCCCGGGCCAAUGCA